GUUAUAUGAUCAAGCGAAUAAGCGCAUACGGUGGAUGCCUAGGCGGUAGAAGGCGAUGAAGGACGUAGUAGUCUGCGAUAAGCCUCGAGAAGCUGACAACAAGCAUUGACUCGAGGAUUUCCGAAUGGGGGAACCCACUUGAGACAACUCAAGUAUCACUUACUGAAUACAUAGGUAUGUGAAGCGAACCCGGGGAACUGAAACAUCUAAGUACCCGGAGGAAAAGAAAUCAACCGAGAUUCCCUUAGUAGUGGCGAGCGAACGGGGACUAGCCCUUAAGUCUUUUUGUGGUUAACAGAACGGUCUGGAAAGUCCGGCCAUAGCAGGUGAUAGCCCUGUAUGUGAAAACCUAAAAGAGGUGAAAACGAGUAGGGCGGGACACGUGUUAUCCUGUCUGAAUAUGGGGGGACCAUCCUCCAAGGCUAAAUACUCUCUACCGACCGAUAGUGAACUAGUACCGUGAGGGAAAGGCGAAAAGAACCCCGGUUAGGGGAGUGAAAUAGAACCUGAAACCGUAUGCGUACAAGCAGUGGGAGCCCUUUAGGGGGUGACUGCGUACCUUUUGUAUAAUGGGUCAGCGACUUACUUUCAGUGGCAAGGUUAACCAUUUAGGGGAGCCGUAGGGAAACCGAGUCUUAAUAGGGCGAUUAGUCGCUGGGAGUAGACCCGAAACCGGACGAUCUACCCAUGGUCAGGGUGAAGGUGGGGUAAUUCCCACUGGAGGCCCGAACCGGGAUCUGUUGAAAAAGAUUCGGAUGAAUUGUGGGUAGGAGUGAAAGGCUAAACAAGUUCGGAGAUAGCUGGUUCUCCCCGAAAGCUAUUUAGGUAGCGCCUCGUGUAUCACUCUUGGGGGUAGAGCACUGUUAUGGCUAGGGGGUCAUCCCGACUUACCAACCCAUUGCAAACUCCGAAUACCAAGAAGUGCAAGCACGGGAGACACACGGCGGGUGCUAACAUCCGUCGUGAAGAGGGAAACAACCCAGACCGCCAGCUAAGGUCCCCAAAUCACAGCUCAGUGGGAAACGAUGUGGGAAGGCAUAGACAGCUAGGAGGUUGGCUUAGAAGCAGCCAUCCUUUAAAGAAAGCGUAAUAGCUCACUAGUCGAGUCGGCCUGCGCGGAAGAUUUAACGGGGCUCAAGCUGUGUACCGAAGCUGCGGAUUUACGCGUAAGCGUAAGUGGUAGGGGAGCGUUCUGUAAGCCUGCGAAGGUGCAUCGUAAGGUGUGCUGGAGGUAUCAGAAGUGCGAAUGCUGACAUGAGUAACGAUAAAGCGGGUGAAAGACCCGCUCGCCGAAAACCCAAGGUUUCCUGCGCAACGUUAAUCGGCGCAGGGUUAGUCGGGUCCUAAGGCGAGGCCGAAAGGCGUAGUCGAUGGCAAACAGGUUAAUAUUCCUGUACCUCUUAUAACUGCGAUGGGGUGACGGAGAAGGCUAAACUAUCCGGGCGACGGAUGUCCCGGUCCAAGCAUGUAGGUAGGCUCUUUAGGUAAAUCCGGAGAGCUAUUACUGAGGUGUGAUGGGGAGCCCUUUAUUGGGCGAAGUAGUUGAUGCCCCGCUUCCAAGAAAAGCCUCUAAGCUUCAGGUUAUAAGGGCCCGUACCCCAAACCGACACAGGUGGGUGAGGAGAGAAUCCUAAGGCGCUUGAGAGAACUCGGCUGAAGGAACUAGGCAAAAUAGUACCGUAACUUCGGGAGAAGGUACGCCCUCGGUAUGUGAAGGUCCUUGCGACUGGAGCGGAUGAGGGUUGCAGUGAUCAGGUGGCUGCGACUGUUUAUUAAAAACACAGCACUCUGCAAACGCGUAAGCGGACGUAUAGGGUGUGACGCCUGCCCGGUGCCGGAAGGUUAAUUGAUGGGGUUAGCGCAAGCGAAGCUCUUGAUCGAAGCCCCGGUGAACGGCGGCCGUAACUAUAACGGUCCUAAGGUAGCGAAAUUCCUUGUCGGGUAAGUUCCGACCUGCACGAAUGGCGUAACGAUGGCCACACUGUCUCCAGCCGAGACUCAGUGAAAUUGAAAUCGCUGUGAAGAUGCAGUGUACCCGCGGCUAGACGGAAAGACCCCGUGAACCUUUACUAUAGCUUUGCACUGAACUUUGAAUAAACUUGUGUAGGAUAGGUGGGAGGCUUUGAAGCGGUAACGCUAGUUAUCGUGGAGCCAACCUUGAAAUACCACCCUGGUUUGUUCGGAGUUCUAACCUCGACCCGUAAUCCGGGUUAGGGACAGUGCAUGGUGGGUAGUUUGACUGGGGCGGUCUCCUCCCAAAGAGUAACGGAGGAGCGCGAAGGUACCCUCAGCGCGGUCGGAAAUCGCGCAUUGUGUGUAAAGGCAUAAGGGUGCUUGACUGCGAGACAGACACGUCGAGCAGGUACGAAAGUAGGUCUUAGUGAUCCGGUGGUUCUGUAUGGAAGGGCCAUCGCUCAACGGAUAAAAGGUACUCCGGGGAUAACAGGCUGAUACUGCCCAAGAGUCCAUAUCGACGGCAGUGUUUGGCACCUCGAUGUC
rnacentral:rRNA from 1 species